rnacentral:ncRNA from 2 species
CAACGUGUUCCGGGGUCGGUGCAAGUCCGAACCGGCGGUGACAGUCCGCGACCCGUCAGCCUCCAGCUGGCGGUUGACCUGGUGGAAUUCCAGGACCGACGGUGAAAGUCCGGAUGGGAGGAAACACGUGG